GGAAAAUAACUCAUCAAAUUCAUUUGAUAAAGAGUAAAAAGAAGAAAAGAUCGAGUAACACUAAAUAAAAUAUGGCUCAUAAGGGAUGUGUUGUAGCUAGGGCUAUGCUUCUAAUGCUACUACUUGUGCUAUCUUCCAUCUUUGUUGAUGCAAGGCAUCCUCCAACUUCGUCCACGCCCGUUGUCCGUUCACCAUAUCCACUAGCGGGUCACAAAGACAUGGGCUACCAUCCCCAAGUAAAAACGGCUCCAAACGGCCCGCUAUCCAGCCCACGAACUUAACUCAAGGAAAUGGAGUAGCCGUGAUCUGUUGCCCUCAAGGAGUCAAGGCCCUUAUCAGAUCCGGAGGUGUGUGUUGUGGCGAUGGAUGCACCUGCUUCAUAAACCUUCUAAGCUGCUGGAGUGCUGGAAGAUUUGUAAUAACAUCCAUCUUACGAAUUAAAUUCGCUGUAAUUUUCCCUUAAUUAAUUAGAAUAAAGAAAAGUAAUUUACCUAUGUCGGAUCUAUGGUUCCCGUAGGUUCAUGAAUGUUUUCUUAGCAUUUGUAUUUUCUUGUUACCUUUUAAUCGAAUUAUGUUUUGUUCGUAUUUUGAA